GACGAACGCUGGCGGCGUGUUUAACACAUGCAAGUCGAGCGGUAAGGCCCUUUCGGGGGUACACGAGCGGCGAACGGGUGAGUAACACGUGGGUGACCUGCCCUCAGCUCUGGGAUAAGCCUGGGAAACUGGGUCUAAUACUGGAUAUGACUCCACGGUGCAUGUCGUGGGGUGGAAAGCCUUGUGCGGCUGAGGAUGGGCCCGNGGCCUAUCAGCUUGUUGUGGGGUGAUGGCCUACCAAGGCGACGACGGGUAGCCGGCCUGAGAGGGCGACCGGCCACACUGGGACUGAGACACGGCCCAGACUCCUACGGGAGGCAGCAGUGGGGAAUCUUGCGCAAUGGGCGAAAGCCUGACGCAGCGACGCCGCGUGAGGGAUGACGGCCUCGGUUGUAAC
rnacentral:rRNA from 1 species